rnacentral:tRNA from 1 species
AUGAGUUUUGUUGAGUCUUCUAAACUUGAAUUAGGUUGUCCUGCUCAUUUU